rnacentral:miRNA from 1 species
CCUUCCAGUUGAAGAGGUUACAAAACCUCUUUGACCGGAAUGAUUCCUUCCAGUCAAAGAGGUUUUGUAACCUGCCCUCCAGUCAAAGAAGUUACAAAACCUCUUUGAGCGGAAGGAUGCCUUCCAGUCAAAGAGGUUUUGCAACCUCUUUGACUGGAAGG